UGACAAUGAAAGUAACUUUGUAAAACAAAGAAUUACACUUGCUUGAAAGAGCUGUAAAAAGAAAUCCUGCAACAACUUCAGCAACUGAAUCAGAUUUUCAUUAUGAGGUUGUGCGUUUUUUGCGUGGUGCAUCAGACCGCAAUGGCGGA
rnacentral:lncRNA from 1 species